AUUGAACGCUGGCGGCAGGCCUAACACAUGCAAGUCGAGCGGAUGAAGGGAGCUUGCUCCUGGAUUCAGCGGCGGACGGGUGAGUAAUGCCUAGGAAUCUGCCUGGUAGUGGGGGAUAACGUCCGGAAACGGGCGCUAAUGCCGCAUACGUCCUGAGGGAGAAAGUGGGGAUCUUCGGACCUCACGCUAUCAGAUGAGCCUAGGUCGGAUUAGCUAGUUGGUGGGGUAAAGGCCUACCAAGGCGACGAUCCGUAACUGGUCUGAGAGGAUGAUCAGUCACACUGGAACUGAGACACGGUCCAGACUCCUACGGGAGGCAGCAGUGGGGAAUAUUGGACAAUGGGCGAAAGCCUGAUCCAGCCAUGCCGCGUGUGUGAAGAAGGUCUUCGGAUUGUAAAGCACUUUAAGUUGGGAGGAAGGGCAGUAAGUUAAUACCUUGCUGUUUUGACGUUACCAACAGAAUAAGCACCGGCUAACUUCGU
rnacentral:rRNA from 1 species